UCGAGGGGCAGCAUUUCAGUUUGCUUGCAAACUGGAGAUGGCGACCGGCGCACGGGUGAGUAACACGUAUCCAACCUGCCGAUAACUCGGGGAUAGCCUUUCGAAAGAAAGAUUAAUACCCGAUGGUAUAAUCAGACCGCAUGGUCUUGUUAUUAAAGAAUUUCGGUUAUCGAUGGGGAUGCGUUCCAUUAGGCAGUUGGUGAGGUAACGGCUCACCAAACCUUCGAUGGAUAGGGGUUCUGAGAGGAAGGUCCCCCACAUUGGAACUGAGACACGGUCCAAACUCCUACGGGAGGCAGCAGUGAGGAAUAUUGGUCAAUGGGCGCAGGCCUGAACCAGCCAAGUAGCGUGAAGGAUGACUGCCCUAUGGGUUGUAAACUUCUUUUAUAUGGGAAUAAAGUUUUCCACGUGUGGAAUUUUGUAUGUACCAUAUGAAUAAGGAUCGGCUAACUCCGUGCCAGCAGCCGCGGUAAUACGGAGGAUCCGAGCGUUAUCCGGAUUUAUUGGGUUUAGAGGGAGCGUAGGUGGACAGUUAAGUCAGUUGUGAAAGUUUGCGGCUCAACCGUAAAAUUGCAGUUGAUACUGGCUGUCUUGAGUACAGUAGAGGUGGGCGGAAUUCGUGGUGUAGCGGUGAAAUGCUUAGAUAUCACGAAGACUCCGAUUGCGAAGGCAGCUCACUGGACUGCA
rnacentral:rRNA from 1 species